GAAGGAUUCUUUAUGGAAUUAAACCUCAACCCAUAACCAAAUUCGAUAAAUCAAAGAUGAGAACCAAUUUGGUCAUACUAUUUGGGCGCGAUUGAGAUUUCUAUAAUUUUUCAAUUAGGGUUUCGAUUUGGUCAUUCAUACUACUUGAAAGAAGGAAGAGAAAGACGAGAGGUUGACGCUAAUAAAUAGCAAAAAAGGGACACUCAACCAAAUUUUCUUCCAUCUCUUCGAUCCCGUUCCUCGCUGAAAAUUGUCGCUAGUAGUUGUGGGAGAAACCAUCGAUGUGGAUAUGUACAGAAGAAAUAUAAAUGAGGUGAAAUUUGACCGAGGCUAAUUUUGCUAAUAGGUGACAAAAAUGACCCGAGAGUAGCCAAAAACAAUGGAAAUCUUAUUUAAGAGUAUUGACAGAUUGUUGUUCCAUUAGAUUUCUAGCAAUCCAUCAUUUUUGAAACCUUUUCAAUGUAUGCUAACUCUUGA